UACAGAGGGUGCGAGCGUUGUCCGGAAUCACUGGGCGUAAAGGGCGCGUAGGCGGCCCGGUAAGGUUGCGGUGAAAGCCCGGGGCUCAACCCCGGGUCGGCCGUGGCAACUGCUGGGCUGGAGCACAGUAGAGGCGGGUGGAAUUCCGGGUGUAGCGGUGGAAUGCGUAGAGAUCCGGAGGAACACCAGUGGCGAAGGCGACACGCUGGGCCGUACCUGACGCUAAAGCGCGACAGCAUGGGGAGCAAACGGG
rnacentral:rRNA from 1 species